rnacentral:lncRNA from 1 species
UAUUUUUAGGCGAAGUAUUUCUUGACUGCAUCCGAAUUCACAAGACGAGUGAAAUCCUCCCCAUCCAUAGUUGUAAGUAUCAAUGCACCUCCUGAAAAGGCUCUCUUGACAACAUAUGGACCUUCAUAUUUUGGAGUCCACUUGCCCCUGGAAUCGGGCGCGAAAGAGAAGACUUUCUUGAGCACAAGGUCACCAUCUCGG